CUGCCCUUUGUACACACCGCCCGUCGCUACUACCGAUUGAAUGGCUCAGUGAGGCGUCCGGACUGGCCCAGAGAGGUGGGCAACUACCACUCAGGGCCGGAAAGCUCUCCAAACUCGGUCAUUUAGAGGAAGUAAAAGUCGUAACAAGGUCUCCGUUGGUGAACCAGCGGAGGGAUCAUUACCGAGUUAUACAACUCAUCAACCCUGUGAACAUACCUAUAACGUUGCCUCGGCGGGAACAGACGGCCCCGUAACACGGGCCGCCCCCGCCAGAGGACCCCCUAACUCUGUUUCUAUAAUGUUUCUUCUGAGUAAACAAGCAAAUAAAUUAAAACUUUCAACAACGGAUCUCUUGGCUCUGGCAUCGAUGAAGAACGCAGCGAAAUGCGAUAAGUAAUGUGAAUUGCAGAAUUCAGUGAAUCAUCGAAUCUUUGAACGCACAUUGCGCCCGCCAGUAUUCUGGCGGGCAUGCCUGUUCGAGCGUCAUUACAACCCUCAGGCCCCCGGGCCUGGCGUUGGGGAUCGGCGGAAGCCCCCUGCGGGCACAACGCCGUCCCCCAAAUACAGUGGCGGUCCCGCCGCAGCUUCCAUUGCGUAGUAGCUAACACCUCGCAACUGGAGAGCGGCGCGGCCACGCCGUAAAACACCCAACUUCUGAAUGUUGACCUCGGAUCAGGUAGGAAUACCCGCUGAACUUAAG
rnacentral:rRNA from 1 species